rnacentral:rRNA from 1 species
GACGAACGCUGGCGGCAUGCCUAACACAUGCAAGUCGAACGGAGAUUAUUUCGGUAAUCUUAGUGGCGAACGGGUGAGUAACGCGUGGGCAACCUGCCCUCUAGAUGGGGACAACAUCCCGAAAGGGGUGCUAAUACCGAAUGUGACAGCAAUCUCGCAUGAGGAUGCUGUGAAAGAUGGCCUCUAUUUAUAAGCUAUCGCUAGAGGAUGGGCCUGCGUCUGAUUAGCUAGUUGGUGGGGUAACGGCCUACCAAGGCGAUGAUCAGUAGCCGGUCUGAGAGGAUGAACGGCCACAUAGGGACUGAGACACGGCCCAGACUCCUACGGGAGGCAGCAGUGGGGAAUCUUCCGCAAUAGGCGAAAGCCUGACGGAGCAAUGCCGCGUGAGUGAUGAAGGAAUUCGUUCCGUAAAGCUCUUUUGUUUAUGACGAAUGUGCAGAUUGUGAACAAUGAUCUGUAAUGACGGUAGUAAACGAAUAAGCCACGGCUAACUACGUG